rnacentral:rRNA from 1 species
ACAGCCUUCUGAAAGGAAGAUUAAUACAAGAUGGCAUCAUGAGUCCGCAUGUUCACAUGAUUAAAGGUAUUCCGGUAGACGAUGGGGAUGCGUUCCAUUAGAUAGUAGGCGGGGUAACGGCCCACCUAGUCUUCGAUGGAUAGGGGUUCUGAGAGGAAGGUCCCCCACAUUGGAACUGAGACACGGUCCAAACUCCUACGGGAGGCAGCAGUGAGGAAUAUUGGUCAAUGGGCGAGAGCCUGAACCAGCCAAGUAGCGUGAAGGAUGACUGCCCUAUGGGUUGUAAACUUCUUUUAUAAAGGAAUAAAGUCGGGUAUGCAUACCCGUUUGCAUGUACUUUAUGAAUAAGGAUCGGCUAACUCCGUGCCAGCAGCCGCGGUAAUACGGAGGAUCCGAGCGUUAUCCGGAUUUAUUGGGUUUAAAGGGAGCGUAGAUGGAUGUUUAAGUCAGUUGUGAAAGUUUGCGGCUCAACCGUAAAAUUGCAGUUGAUACUGGAUAUCUUGAGUGCAGUUGAGGCAGGCGGAAUUCGUGGUGUAGCGGUGAAAUGCUUAGAUAUCACGAAGAACUCCGAUUGCGAAGGCAGCCUGCUAAGCUGCAACUGACAUUGAGGCUCGAAAGUGUGGGUAUCAAACAGGAUUAGAUACCCUGGUAGUCCACACGGUAAACGAUGAAUACUCGCUGUUUGCGAUAUACAGCAAGCGGCC